rnacentral:misc_RNA from 1 species
UCUCCGUAGGUGAACCUGCGGAGGGAUCAUUACAGAGUUCAUGCCCUACCGGGUAGAUCUCCCACCCUAUGUUAUUAUUACUUUGUUGCUUUGGCGGGCCGUUAGGCUCCGGCCCGACUACCGGCCCCGGCUGGUAAGCGCCCGCCAGAGGACCCAAAACCCUGAAGAUUAGUGUCGUCUGAGUACUAUAUAAUAGUUAAAACUUUCAACAACGGAUCUCUUGGCUCUG